UCCAGAAGAACGUCUCCAUGGUGCUGCGCAGACUCCUGCGAAAACGCUGGGUUCUGGGGGUCGUAUUCGGCUUGUCCCUAAUUUACUUUCUUACCAGCACCCUUAAACAGGAGGAGCGAACUAUACGUGAUCGGACUCUCCUGGAGGCGAGAGAAUCCGAGCACCACAUUCCGUGGAAAGUCAAGUUCACCCUCGGCAACAGCAGCAGGCAGAUCACACAGUGCAGAAACUCCAUACAGGGGAAGACGCUUCUCACCGACGAACUUGGUUAUGUUUGUGAGAGGAAGGACCUGCUGGUGAAUGGGUGCUGUAAUGUGAAUUUAGCGAGCUCCAGGCAGUAUAUCUGUAAGAGCUGCCUACCCAACGACUGCUGCAGCGUGUACGAAUACUGCGUGUCCUGCUGCCUCCAGCCUGACAAGCAACCCCAGCUGGAGCGCUUUUUGAACAGAGCAGCGGAAGGCUUUCGGAACCUCUUCACGGCUGUGGAGGAUCACUUCGAGCUUUGCCUGGCCAAAUGCCGUACAUCCUCACAGAGUGUCCAGCAUGAAAACACUUACAGAAACCCCCAGGCCAAGUACUGUUAUGGAGAAAGCCCCCCAGAGCUCUUGCCUCUUUGAUAGUGGUUUGACCCCAGCUUACUGAAACUAGCAAGACUCCAGGGCACAGAACCAAGUCCUCCAUGUUCCUGUGAAAUGGAACACAAUCCACGCCCCAAUGAAGCGACAGGCCUGCUUGUGCGGCAGACUGCAGUUAAUGUGCUGAUGCAGGAGGAUGCAUGAAGAAGGGAAAUUCGCACCAUGUCAGUGGCACGGAUGGGAUGAGUGGGUGAGGUUCAUGAGGAGGACUUAAGUACCUUUUCCAUUUCACACUUCUUUAACACUUACUGAGUUCUUUAACACUUACUGAGCACAUACACAAGGUGGACACUUCAUUUCGGGGAAACAUCACACCAGAGUUCUAUGGUUUGACUUUGCGGGAAGAAACUGCAGUAUGCAUCAGCACAAAUGAAUAAAGGCAGUAGAUAAUCUUACUGGUGCAGCACACCAAGAGUCUGGAGAAGCACUUCAUUAACUGUGAAAGCAACAUUCUUUGAAAGCUGUUUGAACGCCAACAUUUAUUUCAAGUGGACCUCGGAUUUGAUGUUUUAAAAAUGCUCAGAAUGUUUUCUUUAUGAUUCUCCUGUUCAGGAUUCAUCGUUUGUAGAAUAUACAGUAAAUUGCUCCUGCAGCUUUGACAGUCACACACACCUAGUAGAGCAGAUAAUGCAAGGCUCUAAAAACAUGAGGGUCAUGGGUUUGAUACCCAGGCACAGAUAAUGUCACAAUAAGUAACGUGCUCUGGAUAAAAAUGUCCACCAAAUGCUGAACAUGUAAACUAUCUAUAAUAACCUAGAAAGCCUUCAAGAAGUUAUGCUAACAGUGUUUGGAUGUCUGGUCAUAAUUGACUGCAGGAAUCUACUGGAUACCUAGAAAGUAUCUGUAACAAUAAUAAAUAUAAUAAUAAUAAUAAUAUAGUCAAAUAUUGUGCAAUGGAUCCAAUAUGAACCAAAACUAAAAGAAGCCCAAGCGUGAAGGCAUUCCUCAGUUAUUUGCUAGUGCCAUUAUUACAACACUUGCUAUUAUUGUGCAGUAGUGAGUGAGAAGCGCUUCUUGGAAAAGUGAUUGUGCGGCUACCGCAGGCACAGUGAGGUUCAUACUUCUUAUGAGACAGCCUGUCAAGUAUUGUGUUUUAAAUAGUCCACUGAUUAAAAUAGAAUCUCCGGUGGCGUUCCCACUGUCAUCACAGAAUCUACACCUAAUUUAGCUCAAACUGGGUGUUAGACAAUGACUAAGCCACUAAACAGUAUAUUUUUCCAAAGUGACUCUAAAGGUGGAGUUACUCCCUGCAAAGA